AAGGAUCAUUAAUGAUUAACUGUCUGUCGAGCUUGCUCACAGACUUAUCAUAUCCAUAACACCUGUGCACUUGUCGGAUGGCUUAGUGAAGACCGCAAGGUUGGAACUAUCCAUCUACUUUACAUAACAAUUUAGUAACAAAUGUAGUCUUAUUAUAACAUAAUAAAACUUUCAACAACGGAUCUCUUGGCUCUCGCAUCGAUGAAGAACGCAGCGAAAUGCGAUAAGUAAUGUGAAUUGCAGAAUUCAGUGAAUCAUCGAAUCUUUGAACGCACCUUGCGCUCCCUGGUAUUCCGGGGAGCAUGCCUGUUUGAGUGUCAUGAAAACCCUCAACCUUAGAUUGGUUAACACCUUUCUUUGGCUUGGAUUUGGACGUUUGCCGAUGAUAAGUCGGCUCGUCUUAAAAGUAAUAGCUGGAUCUGUCUCGCGACAUGGUUUGACUUGGCGUAAUAAGUAUUUCGCUAAGGACAUCUUCGGAUGGCCGCGUUGCAAGACUAAAGACCGCUUUCUAAUCCAUUGAUCUUCGGAUUAAUAUUCUUGACAUCUGGCCUCAAAUCAGGUAGGACUACCCGCUGAACUUAAGCAUAUCAAUAAGCGGAGGAAAAG
rnacentral:rRNA from 1 species